UUUUGACCGUGCAAAGGUAGCGCAAUCACUUGUCUCUUAAAUAGAGACCUGUAUGAAUGGCUAGACGAGGGCUUAACUGUCUCCCCCCUCCAGUCAGUGAAAUUGAUCUAUCCGUGCAGAAGCGGGUAUAACUAUACAAGACGAGAAGACCCUUUGGAGCUUAAGGUACAAAUUCAACCACGUUAAACGACUCCAUAGAAAGCAAGAACUUAGUGGCGAAUGAAAUUUUACCUUCGGUUGGGGCGACCACGGAGGAGAAAGAAGCCUCCGAGUGGACUGGGCUAAACCCUAAAGCCAAGAGAUACAUCUACAAGCCGCAGAACAUCUGACCAAUAAUGAUCCGACUGAAAAGCCGAUCAACGAACCAAGUUACCCUAGGGGAUAACAGCGCAAUCCUCUCCCAGAGUUCCAUAUUCGAACGAAGGG
rnacentral:rRNA from 1 species